rnacentral:rRNA from 1 species
UACGAAGGGGGCUAGCGUUGCUCGGAAUCACUGGGCGUAAAGCGCACGUAGGCGGAUUGUUAAGUCAGGGGUGAAAUCCUGGAGCUCAACUCCAGAACUGCCUUUGAUACUGGCAAUCUCGAGUCCGGGAGAGGUGAGUGGAACUCCGAGUGUAGAGGUGAAAUUCGUAGAUAUUCGGAAGAACACCAGUGGCGAAGGCGGCUCACUGGCCCGGUACUGACGCUGAGGUGCGAAAGCGUGGGGAGCAAACAGGG